UUUUCCUCAAAAAAAGCACAAACAAGCAGGUAUUGUCAUUUAAAAUUAAAUGUUUUUUUGAAAUUCAGUUGAGUUUGGGUAACUCAAUUGGCUUGUAUCUUCACUCUUCGAUGCAGCCUUAGCAAGGGUAUCAUGAAGCACCUGAACCCAUUCCAAGUGGAUCCAUCUGCCGAUGGAUCAACACACUUCUGCAUGGGUAGCGGUAAUCAUCUGACGCUGCACUUAAUGGCCCAAAGUAGAUUUGGUUAGCUUUUGGCGGCUUGAAGUCUUGUCGACGGUAAUGGAACAUGUGACUGUGACAUUCGCCCAUAGAGGGCCUAAUCGCACUUAGCACUCGGCCUAAUAAAAUGCCCAUCAAUCGACGCUCCACGUUCCUGUAUCCGAGCCCUAUCCGAGAUCUGUGACGUAUUGGACAGAUGGCAACAUUCACUGAAACCUGAAUUGCUAAAUUAUCAAAAUAUAUGUAUAAACACAAAUUCUCAGAUCAUUUCGACGUCUGCUUACCGCCAUAUAGAUGCAUUCCGAAUAUCACUGGAUAUUAAACAGCAGUUCAAUAACGAUCUAAAACAACAUUUUGA